GUCUACGGCCAUACCACCCUGAACGCGCCCGAUCUCGUCUGAUCUCGGAAGCUAAGCAGGGUCGGGCCUGGUUAGUACUUGGAUGGGAGAGUAGACUACACAGAAGUCU
rnacentral:rRNA from 1 species